AUUGAACGCUGGCGGCAGGCCUAACACAUGCAAGUCGAACGGUAACAGGAAGAAGCUUGCUUCUUUGCUGACGAGUGGCGGACGGGUGAGAAAUGUCUGGGCAACUGCCUGAUGGAGGGGGAUAACUACUGGAAACGGUAGCUAAUACCGCAUAACUUCGCAAGACCAAAGAGGGGGACCUACGGGCCUCGUGCCAUCGGAUGUGCCCAGAUGGGAUUAGCUAGUAGGUGGGGUAACGGCUCACCUAGGCGACGAUCCCUAGCUGGUCUGAGAGGAGGACGCGCGACACUGAAGGUGAGACACGGUCAGAGGCCUACGGGAGGCAGCAGUGGGGAAUAUUGCACAGUAGGGGCAAGCCUGAUGCAGCCGUGCCGCGUGUAUGAAGAAGGCCUUCGGGUUGUAAAGUACUUUCAGCGGGGAGAAAGGGAGUAAAGUUAAUACCUUUGCUCAUUGACGGUACCCGCAGAAGAAGCACCGGCUAACUCCGUG
rnacentral:rRNA from 1 species